UACGGGGGGGAGCAAGCGUUUGUUCGGAUUUACUGGGCGUAAAGGGCGCGUAGGCGGCCACCGCAAGUCAGUUGUGAAAUCUCUGGGCUUAACCCAGAACGGUCAGCUGAUACUGCGGGGCUAGAGUGCAGAAGGGGGCAACUGGAAUUCUCGGUGUAGCGGUGAAAUGCGUAGAUAUCGAGAGGAACACCUGCGGCGAAGGCGGGUUGCUGGGCUGACACUGACGCUGAUGCGCGAAAGCUAGGGGAGCGAACGGG
rnacentral:rRNA from 1 species